GACAGAGGGUGCAAACGUUGUUCGGAAUUACUGGGCGUAAAGCGCGUGUAGGCGGCCCUGCAAGUCGGAUGUGAAAUCCCACGGCUCAACCGUGGAAGUGCAUUCGAAACUGCAGGGCUAGAGUCCUGGAGAGGAAGGUGGAAUGCUUGGUGUAGAGGUGAAAUUCGUAGAUAUCAAGCGGAACACCGGUGGCGAAGGCGGCCCUCUGGACGGUGACUGACGCUGAGACGCGAAAGCGUGGGGAGCAAACAGG
rnacentral:rRNA from 1 species